GUGGGGAAUAUUGCACAAUGGGGGGAACCCUGAUGCAGCGACGCCGCGUGGGUGAAGGAGUACUUCGGUACGUAAAGCCCUAUCAGCAGGAAAGAAAAUGACGGUACCUGACUAAGAAGCCCCGGCUAACUACGUGCCAGCAGCCGCGGUAAUACGUAGGGGGCAAGCGUUAUCCGGAUUUACUGGGUGUAAAGGGAGCGUAGACGGCAGUGCAAGUCCGGAGUGAAAGCCCGGGGCUCAACCCUGGGACUGCUCUGGAAACUGUAAAGCUGGAGUGCGGGAGGGGCAGGCGGAAUUCCUGGUGUAGCGGUGAAAUGCGUAGAUAUCAGGAGGAACACCGGCGGCGAAGGCGGCCUGCUGGACCGUAACUGACGUUGAGGCUCGAAAGCGUGGGGAGCAAACAGGAUUAGAAACCCUAGUAGUCC
rnacentral:rRNA from 1 species